rnacentral:rRNA from 1 species
GAUGAACGCUGGCGGCGUGCCUAAUACAUGCAAGUCGAGCGAACAGACGAGGAGCUUGCUCCUCUGACGUUAGCGGCGGACGGGUGAGUAACACGUGGAUAACCUACCUAUAAGACUGGGAUAACUUCGGGAAACCGGAGCUAAUACCGGAUAAUAUAUUGAACCGCAUGGUUCAAUAGUGAAAGACGGUUUUGCUGUCACUUAUAGAUGGAUCCGCGCCGCAUUAGCUAGUUGGUAAGGUAACGGCUUACCAAGGCAACGAUGCGUAGCCGACCUGAGAGGGUUAUCCGCCCCACUUGGACCGGAGCACGGGCCAAACCCCUAACGGGAGCAAGAGGUAGGAAACUUCCGCAAAUGGCCGAAGCCCUGCCGAGCCAACGCGCGGUGAGUAAUGAAGGCCUUCGGUCCGUAAACUCCUUUUUUAGGGAAAAACAAAUGGGGUAGUUACUUAUGACGGCUUGACGGUUACUUAAUCGAAAAGCCCGGCCAACUUCGUU